GACGAACGCUGGCGGCGUGCUUAACACAUGCAAGUCGAGCGAUGAAGUUCCUUCGGGAAUGGAUUAGCGGCGGACGGGUGAGUAACACGUGGGUAACCUGCCUCAUAGAGGGGAAUAGCCUUCCGAAAGGAAGAUUAAUACCGCAUAAGAUUGUAGUAUCGCAUGAUACAGCAAUUAAAGGAGUAAUCCGCUAUGAGAUGGACCCGCGUCGCAUUAGCUAGUUGGUGAGGUAACGGCUCACCAAGGCGACGAUGCGUAGCCGACCUGAGAGGGUGAUCGGCCACAUUGGGACUGAGACACGGCCCAGACUCCUACGGGAGGCAGCAGUGGGGAAUAUUGCACAAUGGGGGAAACCCUGAUGCAGCAACGCCGCGUGAGUGAUGACGGUCUUCGGAUCGUAAAACUCUGUCUUCAGGGACGAUAAUGACGGUACCUGAGGAGGAAGCCACGGCUAACUACGUGCCAGCCGCCGCAGUAAAAC
rnacentral:rRNA from 1 species